UCCUCUGGGAAAAGAUCCAGAAAAAGACUGAAAGCUCCUGGCAGAUUGGAGGAGGGGAGGGGCGAGACCAGGCUCUGUCCUGCCUUCAGAGGAAGCCCCCAGGGCUCUGGGAAACUGAGAGCUCCCACCACAGCCAAGACAGUGACUUGUGCUCUGUGGCCCUGGGGAGGGCUGGCUGGGCCUCCCUCCCUCCCAGCAUGCAGUCGUUCCCCGGGGAUCCUUGCUGCAUUCCUGGCCUGCAGGCCAAAUGCAAUUUCAUGGAAACCUCAGGAGUUGAAUGCUUUCCAAAAGGGUGGCCUGGAGCCAGACCAUGAGCACAGGAAUCUAUCCACUCUGCUCAAGGAAGGUCCGAAAAAUCAGGACUCAGCAGACAGAUCCCCAGCUGGUCCUCCUGUCUGUCUCUGCCCACCAAGAUGUACCCGUCCCCAACCUGGCUCCUGGGCCAGCCAAUGACAGGCACCUGCCCUGGGGACACACCCAUGUUGUCCAGCCAUGCGGGGUGUGGGGUGUGUUAGGUAGUUGUGAAAAUUCCAGAAGGACCCCCUUGACACCCAAGGCAGACUUUGGUGACACAUGUCCUCAAGAACCAAAAGGAAGCUGAUGGAGGGUCCGGGAUCGGUGCCACCUGAUGCCAGGACAUCAUCUUCCGUGGCCGCCCCAGCACCGGGGGGGACGGCAUUUCCUGCUGCACCCCGCGCGGGCUGGAUCACAUGACCUCUCUCUGGCCAAUGAGAUGCGAGCUGAAGUGACGCGAGUUGUUUCCGGGCAGAAAGUUGAAGAGCCGGUGGCAGCUGGCGAGGGGAGCAAAGGCGACACAGCGCGGAGCUGGAGCCACCUGGCCGGAGAGGCAGCGACCCUCAACUGAAGCUCGCGUGGAGAUUGGGGUCGUGUGCGCAGCCGUCGCCGAGAGCCGGCCCGGGGUCCUCGGCGCCUGGGGGCGGGGGGCGUGAUGACUAACAGUGCAAACGUCGCGCCCGGCGGCGGCCACGCUUAGUGCUCAAAAUGGUGCAGAGAAUCAAUUUCUGCUCGCAGACCAGAGUGACCCUCCUGCCCGCUGAGGGUGGGAUCUUCUAAUGGCAGUUGGGAGGGCUCGGCCUGAGGUUUGUAUGCACCCCGGGAGGAAGCGCCUCCCUGAGUCAGAGGCCGUGACCUUCUGCUGCUCCCUGGGGAACUCCCCGCCUGCUCCCUGCCACCCACCCACAGCAGCUCUGUGGACAGAGGCUGCUUCUGUGAGAUGACAUUGUUGGCCUCCCGUGCUAGCCAGGGUUGGGUUGGUGAGCUUGCAGCAUGGGGGCUGGGAGGGACAGCCGCCAGAGAUCCAUAGGGUGACCCUAGCCACCUCUUUUUGGCUAUAACUUUCCCCCAAUGACUGAGCCCGAGACCAAUACCUUCUGCAGCCCCAGACUUCGCUUUUCCUGCAAUCAAAUGUGGUGUGGGGUCCUUGCUGUCCCAUAGCCCUGGCCUUAUUGCAGUGAUCUAUCCCAAAGUUUUUUUCCAGUGACCUGUGGUCCUUUCUUGACCAGAUGAUUGACAUCAUGGCUGGAGGUCUUCAGAGUUUGGGCUUCUCAGCUGGGUUCCCCUCUCCGCUCCACCCACGUGCCAUGUAGACAGCAGGUGUCGGUGAAGACAGGUUCUUCUCUCCCAGGUUGAUGGCCUGGUGGUGCUGGCACAGGAUGGAGGGCAGCCCCAGCUGUGGCCAGCCCUAGCUGUGGCCCGCUCUCUGCAGUCUGGUUCUUGGUGGUCAGGCAAGGGAACCACUGGUGUUGGGAAGGGCUCUGGCAGGGAACCAGGCACUUCCCUCUGCCCUCAGGUCUGGGCUCCAUUUCCUCUCCUGGUCUUUGCCCACUUCUCUCCUCCUGGCAGCUGGGGGCCCUGAGCUGGCCAGUUCUCUCAAAGGAUAGGGUUUUGUGGUUGGAACUGGCUCCCUCCCAACUGCCCACCAAGGAUUUGAACAAGGGAACUUGCAAAAGCCAUCUCUCUUUAUUUUUUAUUCCAGCUGUUCAACCAGUUUGCGCAAGCUGAGGAUGAGUGGGUUUUGGAGGGAAAGGUAGAGCAUCUAGGGACAGACCCUCCCAGAAAUAGUCUAUGCACACUGCUGAGGCUGGUUAGACUUGAGAAGCAAUUUAACAAUGAACUCUACAGAAUCAGAAAUGUAGAAAUGACAAGGCAGCUGCUAGCUGGUUUCUUGGCUCCCCAUGGGGGUCAGAGUUAUACGCAUCAGUCCUGUGCAAAGGUCCUGGGGCUGACCUGAGGGGGCUGCCAUAUUCUUCCCUGGGGACAGAAGCAGCCCUGCUCACCCAGCAGAAAUGUACCAACAGGCAGGCGCAUGGGUGUGUGCCCAGGUUCUAUGGCCCCUGCAGGCUCUGUCGCUCCUCGAGCAUGUCUCUUCCUCCUGCCUCUAUGUCCGCCCCUUGAAGGUGUUCAUGCAGGUGUAGGUUCCUGAGAAUCUGUGGAUCUCCUCUAGUGCAGCCUGUGGGAGUAUGCUGGGGAGCAGGGAGGAAGAAAAGAAGAUGGUCAGCAGGCAGGGGUCAGCAGCGGGGUCACUGGUGGCCACAUCAAACAAGAGUGGUAGAAUGGUAUUCCUAGAAGCACUCAUCUCCCCUUUCCCAAGCACAGGUCAGCUUCCCCUGUGACCACCGCGUUCACCCAGGGAAGGGCUUUCACACAAGUGGGUGAGCCGCGCUCCACAAGGUGAAGGGCGGCCACAGGAUCAGCCUCGCUGCGCCACAUUCGUGGCAUCUACUGUGGUGUGAAUGUGCUGGUCCCCUCCGAAACUCACGCUGCAAUGUGGCCCUCGUUGGUGGACCUGGGGGGUGACCUUGAGGGCGCUCUGCAGCCCUCACUAUUCCACUCAGACGUCAUGGGUGGUCUGGCGGUGGCUUUGUCACAGAGGCAGCUUGCUGUCUCACCACGUGGUGCCAUGCUGUGGGACAGCAGCACCGGCUCUGGAGGCCCAGCAGGCCAGCCCUGUGCUCUUGAACUGAGAGUGAAUAAACCUCUCUUCCUUAUAA